rnacentral:lncRNA from 1 species
CCCAGACUGAAUUGUCAGUGAGCGGAGUCUGAGGUCGCUGUGGACUGCCCACUGGAUUGUGAAAAAUGAGGUCCUCUUUCUAGAGUACCUGACAGGUUGCUUGGCAUCCAGAAGAUGUUUAGCUAAGGCCUUGCCCGAGAUGGACAGCCGGAUUCCUUAUGAUGACUACCCGGUGGUUUUCUUGCCUGCCUAUGAGAAUCCUCCAGCAUGGAUUCCUCCUCAUGAGGUGGGAACCAUCUGUAUUCCUGAGUAGGAGAUUUUUUUCCCCGUGGGCAUGAGAUGAUGCAUGAAAGAGGGUACACCACCCGGACUACAACAAUGAGUUGACCCAGUUUCUGCCCCGAACCAUCACACUGAAGAAGCCUCCUGGAGCUCAGUUGGGAUUUAACAUCCGAGGAGGAAAGGCCUCCCAGCUAGGCAUCUUCAUCUCCAAGGUGAUUCCUGACUCUGAUGCACAUAGAGCAGGACUGCAGGAAGGGGACCAAGUUCUAGCUGUGAAUGAUGUGGAUUUCCAAGAUAUUGAGCACAGC